rnacentral:rRNA from 1 species
AGUGAACGCUGGCGGUAGGCCUAACACAUGCAAGUCGAACGGCAGCACAGGAGAGCUUGCUCUCUGGGUGGCGAGUGGCGGACGGGUGAGGAAUACAUCGGAAUCUACUCUGUCGUGGGGGAUAACGUAGGGAAACUUACGCUAAUACCGCAUACGACCUACGGGUGAAAGCAGGGGACCUUCGGGCCUUGCGCGAUUGAAUGAGCCGAUGUCGGAUUAGCUAGUUGGCGGGGUAAAGGCCCACCAAGGCGACGAUCCGUAGCUGGUCUGAGAGGAUGAACAGCCACACUGGAACUGAGACACGGUCCAGACUCCUACGGGAGGCAGCAGUGGGGAAUAUUGGACAAUGGGCGCAAGCCUGAUCCAGCCAUACCGCGUGGGUGAAGAAGGCCUUCGGGUUGUAAAGCCCUUUUGUUGGGAAAGAAAUCCAGCAGGCUAAUACCCGGUUUGGAUGACGGUACCCAAAGAAUAAGCACCGGCUAACUUCGUGCCAGCAGCCGCAGUAA